UGUGCUUGCACAGAUGACGACCGGCGCACGGGUGCGUAACGCGUAUAGAACCUACCUUUUACAGAGGAAUAGCCUUUAGAAAUGAAGAUUAAUGCCUCAUGGUAUUGUAGACUGGCAUCAGUUUAUAAUUAAAGAUUUAUCGGUAAAAGAUGGCUAUGCGUCCUAUUAGUUAGUUGGUAAGGUAACGGCUUACCAAGACAGCGAUAGGUAGGGGUCCUGAGAGGGAGAUCCCCCACACUGGUACUGAGACACGGACCAGACUCCUACGGGAGGCAGCAGUGAGGAAUAUUGGACAAUGGAGGAGACUCUGAUCCAGCCAUGCCGCGUGUAGGAAGAAUGCCCUAUGGGUUGUAAACUACUUUUAUACAGGAAGAAACACUGGUAUGUAUACCAGCUUGACGGUACUGUAAGAAUAAGGACCGGCUAACUCCGUGCCAGCAGCCGCGGUAAUACGGAGGGUCCGAGCGUUAUCCGGAAUCAUUGGGUUUAAAGGGUCC
rnacentral:rRNA from 1 species